UAUCGGAAAGUUCCAUGGCAGUUAGGGGCCCGGUCCUACUGAAUAGGUUGUUUCUUUCCCAGACCCCAGGCCCUGUGGUGGCAAGGACUCUGCCUGCUACAAAUAUUUAAAGGAUGAGGGGCCACUGAGCCCAGCAAGGGAAGGUGGAGAUGGGGUGGAGGUUAGGAGGAGAGACAGGGAAUGCUCAAGAUGGGGGCAGGGGCCUUUAGGGCGAUGAGCAUCCAAACCCUGGCGAGGGAAGGGGGGGCUGGGAAGCAGGACGGGGCGGAGGGGAGCCUGGCCCAAGAAGAGAGCUGGCCGGCCGACCCCAGCGGUGACAGGCAGGUGCCCGGGGAGCACCCCUCAGAGCCCCGGAGAAUCUCCGUGCUGCCCCUGUGGUGGAGGAUGACGCACAGCUCCCGCUGGGUAGCACGGGUGCUGGCCUCGGAGCUCAGCCUCGUCGCCUUCAUCCUGCUGCUGGCCAUGGUGUUCUCCAAGAAGUGGCUGUGCCUCUCCGGGAGCCGCGUCUACCAGCGCUGGCCCACCAACGUCAGCGCGAGAAUCUACACGUCGGCUCGUCUCAUGUCCAUGGGGCUCCUGUACAUCUGCAAAUCCAAGAGCUGCUCCAGCUCCGAAAACGGGAAAGAUAGUUUUAAGCUGUGGGAAAAUCACCCGGUCUUCGGGGUGGCCCGGAUAACCUUCUGCCUGACCCUGGGGCUGGGCUUUGUCUUCACCGUCUGGUUGCACUUGCCGUAUCUACCUGGUCUGAAGAGACUGCCCUUCUUUGGCUGGAUCGGGACCAUCCUGAGCUUCUUUGAAGUUACCUUUAUCUUCUCCACCCUCCUGCUGUUCCCUAUUAACCUCUGGAUCUUUGAGUUGAAGAGGAAUUUAUCUGUCCCCAUCGGCUGGAGCUAUUUCAUAGGCUGGCUGGUGUUUGUCCUGUAUGUCACCUGCGCGGCCCUCUGCCACUUCAACCACAAACACUUCUGGAGCGUGAUUAUGAACUGUCCCAGCCGGGCCGCGUCCUGCAGCGAUGGUUCCAGCUCAGUACAGAACUUUCCGAGUGAGCCGGGGGGCUCACACGCCUCGGUCAAGCAGGAGGAGGCCCUGGAUCCGGAGCGAAAGAAGGCAUCUCCGUAACCUUUUCCGAAAUCCUGGCGCCAACUUCGGCCGCCCCUCGUCCGACUCCCUCUCCUCAUCCUUUCUCGAAGCCCUGGGGAGUGAACGACUCAAGAGCAAACUGGCCACAAGGUGAGAGGCAGGUUACCUGGGCCAGGGUACCACCGGCACCAACUCCAACUCCAAUUCCACCCCGACCUCCGUCCACACCUUCUCCUCCGCCACUCCAUCACCACCGCUCUCAACUCCACCAGUUCUGACGCCCCUCUGGGCUGCUCCUGCUCUCCGACCAAGCUUCCCGUGUGACGGCAGGAAUAAAACCGUGAGAGUCAGGCCCUACGACCGAGAGACAGAGUGCCCUUUGGGAUCACGAACUUCGUCUAGCCUCACGAACACGUGCGGCACCUGCCUGGGGCAGCACCGGCCAUGACCCCUGGGAUUCAGACAUCCCGCACGGAGAGGCUGGUCUCCCAGGAGAGCCGCUGUGGCCGAUCUGUCGAAUCCUUCCAGAUGGAGCCGCCAUGCCGGCCAGCUAGAGGAGAGAAGGCACAAAAUCCGAGUGGGGUGGGUAGAUGAAAGCUGUAUGUCUCAGCGGGUCGAGCCGUCCGAUACUGCCGUUUCCGCAGUUAAAUGCUGCCAAUUUCAUAAGGUUCAACCUAAUACGUCUGACUGGUUUCUAUUUGAUUUUUUUUUUUUUUUUGGCUCUUUUGAGAUUCUUGUCCCUAACCAUACCUGACGAGCGGUGUGCAGCUUCUUGGCUCCAGGCAAACAGUCUGCGCAAAGAAUACGUGGGCUUGAAAUCUGGGCCGAGCAGCACCCCACAAAUCCAGACUCAUCGUCUCCCUCGUGCUUCUUCCCCCGGUAGCCAGGAUUUAUUGAUUUGGUCAUCCUUGGGGAAGAAACAACAAGCAAAUGUAGGUCAUGAUCGGAGAAAGGGAUUUGGUAAUUUGAAAGAAGUCAUAAACUCAAAUGCCUACAGGGAUGAGACUAUCUGCCUCCUACAUAAAUAAAGGGGGCUAUGCUUCCAGUCUAUAAUUUUCCUCUUUUGGUAAAGACCUAAUAUAAUCUUUUGCUGGAUAACAAAUUACCCCAAACUUGGUGGCUUAAAAUAAUAAACAUUAUCUCACGUGGUUUCCGGGAUCAGGAAUCUGGGAGCAGCUUAGCUGAAUGGUUCUUGCUCAGGGUCUCUCACGGGGUCAUAGUCAAGAUGUCAGCUGGGGCUGCAGUCAUCUGAAGGCUUGACUGGGGCUGGAGGAUCUACUUCCAGUGUGGUUCACUCGUAUGACUGUCGACGGUUCCUUGCCACAGGGGCCUCUUUCAUGGGCUGCUAGGUUGUCGAGAGCUCGUGUCCCCCAGAGUGAGUGAUCUAAGAAUGAGGAAGGAGGAAGAGGAGGAAGUGUCCGUGCCCUUUAUGACUUAGUCUUGGAAGAAAUACACUGUUACUUUCACCAGAUAAAUCAGCUGAAAUUUCAGAAUUGCACUGUGUUGCAAGGGAGGAACUAAGUCGUCCUCCUCAUGGGGCCUUUAAGGAUUAUUCCAACAAAGCUGUGGAAAUUGCACGCAGAGAGGCAUUUGAAAUUGGAGGAUUCAUUAUAUCCACAGGUCCUAGAAGAGGUCCACAUUCCACAUGGAGGCCACAUGGAAGGCCCAGAGAGCAGGCUCAACCACGCAGAUGGGGAGCUGAGAGAGUGAGGACCCGUGGCCAAGUGCCUUUGUUGGGGUCAAGCAAACGUCUGAGGGAUUUUCAUUGGUGCAUUUGGAUGUCACUAGGUUAUAGUCAGGGGAGGGCCAGAAGAGGAACUUGUGGCAGGAGCCAGCCUUGUCACACUUGGUGCACCUGUCACCUGGUAAGGUGCUCACAGUCUCAUCGUAGAGCUGUUGAGGCAUCCGGCAGAGAUGAAGUUUUAAGCAUUCGUGACACACUGGCCGUCUGUUAUGGGCUGAGUUGUGUCUCCCCCAGAAUUCAUACGUUGGAGCCCUAACCCCCAGUACCUCAGAAUGUAACUAGCUGGAGAUAGGGUCUUACGAGGUGCACAGGAAAGACCAGGCGGGAAGGUGCGCAUCUGCAAGCCACGUAAGAGAGGUCUCAGAAAGAGACCGAACCUAUUACACUUGACCUUGGACUUCCAGCCUCUAGAAUUGGGAGAAAAUAAGUUUCUGUUGUUUAAAGGACCUAGUCUGUGGCGCUUUGUUACGGUUGCCCUAGCAAACAAAUGUGCCGCCUAAAUUAGGUCCAGGUGCAGGUGAGGCUCUUUAGAUGCAAUGCCUUAAAUACAGGGAGUCAAGUGCAGGUCCUCUCAAUCUGAAUACCUGUGAACUAGAGAGACAUGUGACCUCCCCUCACACAGCCAGAAACCAUGGCAGGGCAGUCAAGGGGUAACCCUGACAGACGCUACUGUUUUAAAAGGGGGAUAAUGACAUAUAAUGAACACUGAGUAAUGUAUAGAAUUAUUGAAUCGUUAUGUUGUACACUUGAAACUGAUGUAACACUGUAUGUUCAUCAUACUCCAAAAAGAAAAAAAAGCGGGGAGGGGAAUAUGAAUGAGAGACACAACGGGGAGUCAUUGGUUCAUAGCACUUCUGAAAUCCAGCUGGGAAAAUGUUGAAAUGUCCUUGAUUGAGACUCAGUCCUGGAGCGUCUGGGUGGCUCAGUCGGUUGAGCGGCUGACUUUGGCUCAGGUCAUGGUCUCAUGGUUCAUGGGUUCGAGCCCCAUGUCGGGCUCUGUGCUCACAGAACAGAGAUCCUGUGACUCACUCCCUCUCUGCCUCUCCCUGCUUUUGCUCUGUCUCUCUCUCAUAAAUAUCUGAAAAAACAAAAAAAAAGAUUCAGUCCUAUUUCUCCCCAGCUGCAAGUCUCCAUGGGUUUUUUUUUUUUUUUAGAUGUAACACACAUGCCAUAAAAUUUACCACUUUAAAGUACACAAUUCAGUGGUUUUAGUAUAUUCACAAUGUGCAACCAUCACCACUAUCCCAUUCCAGAACACUCUACGGCUCUAAUUACUCCCCCUUCCCUCCAUCCCCUGGAACUAGUCUACGUUCUGUUUCUCUGCAUUUGCUUAUUCUGGACAUUUCAUAUAAAUGGAAUCAUACAAUACCCAG